rnacentral:rRNA from 1 species
GUGGGGAAUAUUGGACAAUGGGGGGAACCCUGAUCCAGCCAUGCCGCGUGUGUGAAGAAGGCCUUUUGGUUGUAAAGCACUUUAAGCGAGGAGGAGGCUACCGAGAUUAAUACUCUUGGAUAGUGGACGUUAGUCGCAGAAUAAGCACCGGCUAACUCUGUGCCAGCAGCCGCGGUAAUACAGAGGGUGCAAGCGUUAAUCGGAUUUACUGGGCGUAAAGCGCGCGUAGGUGGCCAAUUAGGUCAAAUGGGAAAUCCCCGGGCUUAACUUGGGAAUUGCAUUCGAUACUGGUUGGCUAGAGUAUGGGAGAGGAUGGUAGAAUUCCAGGUGUAGCGGUGAAAUGCGUAGAGAUCUGGAGGAAUACCGAUGGCGAAGGCAGCCAUCUGGCCUAAUACUGACACUGAGGUGCGAAAGCAUGGGGAGCAAACAGGAUUAGAAACCCUAGUAGUCC